CGUCCCACAUUACGAUCACCAAAACAACGACGGAUAUUAGCAGAUAAAGUGAUCGACUCAAAACACCAACCAUAAUUCAAUUAAGGGGCAUCAGAACUUUCACAGAAGCAGUUCGCACCAAGAGACUCCUGAUGAAAAAGCUCACUUGAAAAGUGUCAUCAAUAAGUGACACGUACAUAUUUUUCAGAUUAUGGUGUUUAGGAUUUCAGAUUACGACUAUGGCGGAUAUUAAUAUUAGUAUAUAAAUAUGUAGGAAAGAUGAUGGGAAUAUGACACAUUUUAAAAAACAGUUCAAUAUUUUCAAUGAAAAAUGUUUCAAAUGUAAUAAAAUAAAAGAUAAAAUUAAAGUUGAACAUGUUAUCUAUUAGCAUGCGACUGAUUUAAUACAAUUUUUAUUGUAUAAUACAUAAAAAUAUUGGAUUUGGAAAAACGUUUAUUUGCGCCUUAUUAUCCAGCACUCGUGUAAUGCAGCGCACCGUGAUUUCGACAUUAAAAGAUUAUUAGGAUCGAUACUAUUUUCUGAUUAUAUUCAAUUGAAUUUGUAAUUUAUAUUGAGUUGUAUUGAUUUAUAUUGAUUUACAUUGAAUUGUAGUUGAAAAAAUAAAAAAAAAUU